rnacentral:lncRNA from 1 species
AAAGGGGAAAGGGGUUGUUUUUUUUAUGUAUCAGAUUGGGGAAAUUUAGGGAAAUUAGGGUAGAGAGGUGGUUCUCUCCUCCAUUUGAGCCACCACCUCUCUUGGUGAUGGGGAAGCUGCUGGAUGAUGGGACGACGAAGAUGGCAGAAGGAGCGGCGUCCCUUGCGGUGGUGGUCACGACUUUAUGAUAUCGAAUCCAUCCUACUGCAAGAUUGUACAUCUCUGCCUAGAUGUAGCUUGGCCGUGGAGGUGGAGCCUCUAUGACUUCAACGGCGAGGUGAGGAGGAUGGCUCCUUGAACCACCGUCCUUCCUUCUUCUUCUCCGGUUGACACGCCGACCUGNCUAGAUGGGAUAAUGAUGGAUAUUAUAUGAGUGUUUUAGUUGAUAAAUUAAAGAGUGAACACUAUUUCUGAGUUAACUCACUGAUUUAUAAUUCCAGAUUGCUUAUACUUAAUUAUUGGUAUGAUUGUGAUUAUGCUUUAAGGAUUAACAUGAUGUUGUUUAAUUAGGUUUGCUGUUUUGUGUUUGUUCAUCACAAGGAAAGUAGGUGUUCAUGAAAUUUUAAAGUUUAUAAUUUGUACAUAUACAUAUGUUUG